ACCGCCUUAGCUCAGUGCACUGGAUGUGGUAGAGCGUCGGGCUUUUAACCUGAAGGCCGAGGGUUCGAGUCCCUCAGGCGGUG
rfam:Nannochloropsis gaditana strain B-31 unplaced genomic scaffold NG_scf01, whole genome shotgun sequence.